rnacentral:rRNA from 1 species
GAUGAACGCUGGCGGCGUGCUUAACACAUGCAAGUCGAGCGAAGCAGUUAAGAAGAUUCUUCGGAUGAUUCUUAACUGACUGAGCGGCGGACGGGUGAGUAACGCGUGGGUGACCUGCCCCAUACCGGGGGAUAACAGCUGGAAACGGCUGCUAAUACCGCAUAAGCGCACAGAGCUGCAUGGCUCGGUGUGAAAAACUCCGGUGGUAUGGGAUGGGCCCGCGUCUGAUUAGGCAGUUGGCGGGGUAACGGCCCACCAAACCGACGAUCAGUAGCCGGCCUGAGAGGGCGACCGGCCACAUUGGGACUGAGACACGGCCCAAACUCCUACGGGAGGCAGCAGUGGGGAAUAUUGCACAAUGGGGGAAACCCUGAUGCAGCGACGCCGCGUGAGCGAAGAAGUAUUUCGGUAUGUAAAGCUCUAUCAGCAGGGAAGAUAAUGACGGUACCUGACUAAGAAGCCCCGGCUAACUACGUGC